AUACGUAGGGGGCUAGCGUUAUCCGGAUUUACUGGGCGUAAAGGGUGCGUAGGUGGUUUCUUAAGUCAGGAGUGAAAGGCUACGGCUCAACCGUAGUAAGCUCUUGAAACUGGGAAACUUGAGUGCAGGAGAGGAAAGUGGAAUUCCAUGUGUAGUGGUGAAAUGCGUAGAUAUAUGGAGGAACACCAGUGGCGAAGGCGGCUUACUAGAUCGAUACUGACGCUCAGUCACGAAAGCGUGGGUAGC
rnacentral:rRNA from 1 species